rnacentral:rRNA from 1 species
AACGAACGCUGGCGGCAGGCUUAACACAUGCAAGUCGAACGCCCCGCAAGGGGAGUGGCAGACGGGUGAGUAACGCGUGGGAAUCUACCCAGAUCUUCGGAACAACUGAGGGAAACUUCAGCUAAUACCGGAUACGCCCUACGGGGGAAAGAUUUAUCGGUUCUGGAUGAGCCCGCGUUGGAUUAGCUAGUUGGUGAGGUAAAGGCUCACCAAGGCGACGAUCCAUAGCUGGUCUGAGAGGAUAAUCAGCCACACUGGGACUGAGACACGGCCCAGACUCCUACGGGAGGCAGCAGUGGGGAAUAUUGGACAAUGGGCGAAAGCCUGAUCCAGCCAUGCCGCGUGAGUGAUGAAGGCCUUAGGGUUGUAAAGCUCUUUCAGUAGGGAAGAUAAUGACGGUACCUACAGAAGAAGCCCCGGCUAACUACGUGCCAGCAGCCGCAGUAAGAC